AAUAGCAGUUGUAACACUCGACAGAGGCUUCAAUACAACCAUCCAUUACCAUUGUGCAGUGUGAAGGUAGAAUCGCCAAGCUUGUAGCAGAGCUUACUAUUCUGACUAGACCAAUCACAGAGCUCUAAGGGCCCUUGGUAUUCAACACCCAGUUGUUCAUCUCUCUCGCUGACUGGCUGGAACCAUUAGCACCACCACGGCCGGGGCGAUCUCAAACAGCGUGGGCCUAAUGUCAAUUUAAUGGACGCUUAGUAAUUUUGAGUUGUAAACCUACAUUAACGAAAGCCUUUGCUUCAAGGACCAGUAUACACAGAGGCUACAGCUGGGAACCGUGCAGAUAAAUCCACUCCGAAGUCUUCAGAUAUGAAACCGAUACUUUCCGUCGCACUACUUUUCCUCAUUCCCUUGCUGGUGAAAGGAUUCACGCUGUACGACGGCUGUUUGUUUGAGUGUGUCAAUUGCGUGGAGUCAUGGGGAAAGAAAAUGUAUGACGGCAAGGCCUGUGCCCAAGCCUGCAUAGAUUCAAAAGGGAGGACCAUCGACCCUGAAUGUACAAGAGGAAGCGCACCGUCAAACAAACGUACAGAAUUUCGGGUAACGUCAGAAGAUUGUGAAGAACGUUGCGAAAAGUGUGUACAUGACGAAAGUGGGCUACAAUUGAAUCGUCUUUCGUGCAUAUUCACGUGCCUUGUGAAGAAGGAGUUGCCCAAGAAUUGUUGAAAAAGGACACUUUGAGACUGUAGUAUGUGAAUAUUAUUUAUACCUCCAAACGUAUUUAUUUUGUAAGCAUUCAUCCCCUUUUCCCAAGCGUAUUUAUUUCAUUCAAUUUUGACAUUCUGUUAUAUUGGGGGUGUUUGAAAUAAUGGGCGUUAUUUUUCUUAAUUGUCCGUUUAAGAUGGCCUCGAAAAUAGUCAAUGUCCACUUGUCCUUUCACAUGGCACAACUAUACGUGGACGCGAAAAAACCUGAACAGUUUGUCAUUGCCCAAUCUGGAUCGUAAGUUACUGUACAAAUGUCGGAAUAUUGAAAUCAAUAAUGUGAGGUAGAGAAAUCUUAUUUACCAUCGGGAAUGAUUGAAUAUCUCGAUAAAUGGAAAGAACAUGUUGGGGUGUUGUCCACUCUGAUGGAUGCCGAUGAAAGUGUGUGUUAAAAGAAAGUUUGAUUAUCUUGGAUUACCCCUGUACACUGGGAUGUUUAAUUGUUUAGAAGAUAGAACCUUCUAGUAUCGGCACAAGCUUAUGUCAACAAUCGGAUCAUUCACGGCAUGCUUAUAUACAUAACAAAGCGCGAUCAGGUUCAGUGUUUACUCUGUUUACGACGAUUAUUUUCAUAUCAUCUGCAAUGAUACAUUUCUUUAUAUGUCACAUGUGAUGUUAGUACAUUCCAUAAAUUAUUUAUUUAUUUAUUUCAAACAAAAAAUAUUUCCAACAGUUGGAAUAAAGAGUUCGUGCUUUGGAA